AUGUUAAUUUGGAGGAUUUGGUCGCUACGGUCUGACUUGGCGCAGGGCAAGAACGUGUUGUCUCCUUCUGUUUCUGCUGAUUAUCUCCAGAGUUAUAUGUGUUCACUUGAUCUGUCCAGGAGAUACAUCAUGAAGGAAAUUUUGAAGGGGAAGAUGUCGCUAAUGGAGGACGACUCGGCUACUCGUGUUGUGGUUUCCAGCGCACUGCCAUGGUCACCACCGCCAACAAAUCGGGUUGCACUAUCUGUUGAUGGGGCCUUUUCUUCAGUGGAUGGCUCGACGGUAGCCAGCAUGAUCUUGAGGAGACAUGAUGGAAGUGUGAUUUUUUCUGCUAUCGCUGCCUGUUUAAUUGGAACGACGCACUACAGGCUGAGUUGCAUGCACUGA
rnacentral:rRNA from 1 species